UACGAAGGGGGCUAGCGUUUGUUCGGAAUUACUGGGCGUAAAGCGUGCGCAGGCGGUUUGCUAAGACAGGUGUGAAAUCCCCGGGCUUAACCUGGGAACUGCGCUUGUAACUGGCGAGCUUGAGUGUGGCAGAGGGGGGUGGAAUUCCACGUGUAGCAGUGAAAUGCGUAGAGAUGUGGAGGAACACCGAUGGCGAAGGCAGCCCCCCUGGGCUAACACUGACGCUCGAUGCACGAAAGCGUGGGGAGCAAACAGG
rnacentral:rRNA from 1 species